rnacentral:misc_RNA from 1 species
CUUGGUCAUUUUGAGAGCUGCGAAUACAAUGCGUCGAAGAUGGCAGAUCCCUUCACGAUGCGAUCGGAAUCAUCGGCAGUCGCUGCAGCAAUUCCGGUGAUUACACUUUGCACGCCCGCAGUUUCCGCGCGAUUGAACUUUUCAUCCUUGAGAUCGAUGUCGUGCACGAUCUCUCCAAUCGCCUCGAGCGCGGGAUCAUGGAGCGAGAAUUUUUCGACCAGCACUUCGAACGUGCAGCGAUCGCCUUCGUGUGUGUACUCACCGUCGAACAUGUCGAACCGAAGCUCGCCCUCCUGUCGACGAUAUCCUUUUGGUGAAACGAAUUUGAAAACCGCCGCCCGAUCGAUGAAUCGGCGGAUGAGCCAUGCGCUUGCAAU